rnacentral:rRNA from 1 species
CAGAGGUCCCAAGCGUUGUUCGGAUUUACUGGGCGUAAAGGGUGCGUAGGCGGUUGUUUAAGUCUGACGUGAAAUCUCCGGGCCUAACCGGAAACUGCGUUGGAUACUAUUCAACUAGAGGAAUGGAGGGGAGACUGGAAUACUUGGUGUAGCAGUGAAAUGCGUAGAUAUCAAGUGGAACACCAGUGGCGAAGGCGAGUCUCUGGACAUUUCCUGACGCUGAGGCACGAAAGCCAGGGGAGCAAACGGGAUUAGAUACCCCGGUAGUCCUGGCCCUAAACGGUGCGCGUUUGCUGUAAGUGGAAUCGACCCCACUUGUGGCGUAGUUAACACGUUAAACGCGCCGCCUGGGAAGUACGGCCGCAAGGUUA